AUCCAGUUGACCAAUGCCAAAUAGGACGAAACGCGUGUCAAACUGGAU
rnacentral:hammerhead_ribozyme from 1 species